CAAGGAAUAUUGUGCAAUGGGCGAAAGCCUGACACAGCGACGCCGCUUGAGGGAAGAAGGCUUUCGGGUUGUAAACCUCUUUUCUCAGGGAAGAUAAUGA
rnacentral:rRNA from 1 species